rnacentral:lncRNA from 1 species
UCAUACAUUGCUCAAAUGGGGUAUUUGAAUAUACCACCAUGGCCUUAGGAACACCUCCAUAUUUUUAGAAAAAUGUUCCGAGCACCCACGCACCCUCACGCGCCGGCCAAGGCACGGCCAGACGCGCGGUCCACGAGCAGGCACGUGCCUGGCACACCAAACGGAUUUCCUAACUGCAUUAGGGAAUAUUUUGUUAAAAAUAAGUAUAUACCGUUAUAAUUACCUGAUGGCGUUAGAAUAUUCCGUCAACUUUGACGGGAAUAUUCUCCUCCUUCUUCCUUGGUUCGCCUGAGUUUGGUGCCAGUGCCGCUGCUAUCGCCGGAAACUGGAAAAAUCUUUAAACUUCAAUAUCUUCUUCGAUUCUCAACCAAAAUUCAUGAAUUAUAUACCAAAAUGAAGCUUGUGAUGAGAGGAACAAUUCCUUACCACUUUCAAGUCUUAAAUCCACCAUAAAUUAGCCGGAAAAACCCACGAUAAUCCGGCCACCUCUACAACUCCGCGAACUGGGAUUUCCCGACGUCCAAAAUCCUUCAAAAUUCUUCUAAAAGCUUCGUGAGGACUAUCUAAGGCUUCCAAAGGCUCAAAACUUCAAGAAACACUCGCGAUCACGUCGAGGUCACUGUGCACUUCCUCGGAGCUUCUUGGUUCUCGGGUUUUCGAGAGUUUCACGUCCAACCAAAACCACUACUCGACUCCUGAGCUUGAAAGGAGCACGAAAACAACUACCAAAACCUCGAUAUGCGAUUAGAGAGCUAGGUUUGAGGUUGUCCGUACGGUUGUACGGAAAUGGAAGAAAAUCCGAGAAGGAAGGAGAGAGAGAGGGUCAACGGGAUUGGUUGGUGUGUAUGUGUGGUCCAGGUUUGGCCAACCAAGCCAAAAACAAAUAAAAUCUUAAGUUCCAAUUGGGUCCAAAUCUUUAGGAAAGGAAAUAAUUGGUCAAAAUAUUAAGCUCAACACACAACACAACUCAACGUCUAAGGGUAAAUUAGUCAAUUCACACCAUUGAUAAAUUAUAUUUCGGGACAGAUUGUCACAAAUUUGGUUAGAUUGUAUAUCUAAAAUACACCUCAUGAUUAUUAAUUAAUUUAUUUAAGGAAUGCUAUUCAAUAUUUAAGGAAUUCCGUUCAAUCUAAAUUAUAUGGGUAAGUUUUCAAUAAUUAAUGGAGGUACGUUUGCUUGUAUAGUUAUUUGGUUAUAUUGUACAUUUAGUUUUCUAUAACGUGAGUGCGUUUAAGGUUUAGUAGUACACACUUUUUGGUUCCUUUUUUUUUUUCUAGCAGUUUAUCUAAAAUACAUAGAAGGAAUUCGAAAACAAGAUCUCAAGUGCAAGAGAACAGUCUUAACCAACUGAGCAUUAUCUAUUAAGAUUUUUUCCUGACAUGAAUUAAUUUCUUAGAUUAUAGGUUGGCACCACAAUAAUAGAAAGCAUUUUAAUUAAAAUUCUAAAACACAUAAAUGUAUCUAAAAAAUAAAUAUUUGAGGCACCUAAAUCUAAACCCUCAAAGUUUAAAAUAUCUAAAAAUAUGGGAAAUGAUGAGAAACCGGUGAUCAGAUGUGGAAAACUAUGUUAGGGAGAUUAUAUUCAUGGACAAGGAUUGUCUCCUUGCUCCCGUGCCCUCCUAUGCCCUCCUGUUUGUGUGGUCACGGUUAAGCCACGUCAAUAUUUUAUAUUACUAUUCAUUUUUGUCUUAUUAUCUCUAUA